UUGAAAGGGAAACGAUUGAAGUCAGUGGUCCUGGCGCGAAAUCAACCCUCUCAUCGGGAGACCCAUGUUGUGCCGAGCCUCAAAACCGCCACAGCAUGUGUCUCACGAUGAGGGGGAGCCCUUUCGUCUCCGCUGGUUAACACCAAUUUCGAACGUCAUAAAAAGGCUGGAGGGAUGUGCCUCCUUCGGGAGUGUUAUACCCUUUAGCGGAAUGUGGUGUUCGGGAUUGAGGAUUGCAACGAAUACCUUUAGGGCUGUUCCACCUGCUUCUCUUUGGUAUCCUGGUGACGACAGCUCGCUUACGGGUUAGGUUCGCCUUUACCAGGUUAGAGUCGAGCAAAUCCGUUAAGGAUGUUGACGUA
rnacentral:rRNA from 1 species